GAUGGACGCUGGCGGCGUGCCUAAUACAUGCAAGUCGAGCGAACAGACGAGGAGCUUGCUCCUCUGACGUUAGCGGCGGACGGGUGAGUAACACGUGGAUAACCUACCUAUAAGACUGGGAUAACUUCGGGAAACCGGAGCUAAUACCGGAUAAUAUAUUGAACCGCAUGGUUCAAUAGUGAAAGACGGUUUUGCUGUCACUUAUAGAUGGAUCCGCGCCGCAUUAGCUAGUUGGUAAGGUAACGGCUUACCAAGGCAACGAUGCGUAGCCGACCUGAGAGGGUGAUCGGCCACACUGGAACUGAGACACGGUCCAGACUCCUACGGGAGGCAGCAGUAGGGAAUCUUCCGCAAUGGGCGAAAGCCUGACGGAGCAACGCCGCGUGAGUGAUGAAGGUCUUCGGAUCGUAAAACUCUGUUACUAGGGAAGAACAAAUGUGUAAGUAACUAUGCACGUCUUGACGGUACCUAAUCAGAAAGCCACGGCUAACUACGUG
rnacentral:rRNA from 1 species